CACCUCUCAAGAACUCGGCACAAUCUUAUCUAAUCCACUUGUGAUUCGGUCACGUGCCGGUUUAUUAUUUUAUAUUGAAUAUUUGGUGAGGCAGUAAUUCAUUGGGACCUCGCAGGAAUAAUUUAGGGAAUACGGAUUGAUGUUGAGAACCGGUGGUCAGAUCGUAUAUAUAAAAAAAAAAAAAAAAAAGAGAGAGUUGCCUGCUAAGCAUGACUACGUGAAGCUUUCGACUAUGCUGUACCUCGCAAUUGCAUACCAGCAUUGGUUUCGUCUCAUUCAUCGGCUUGCUCUUUUUGCUGUUUUAAGUUUUCCACAUUCUUACUAUCAAUUUGGCUGUGGUGUUUAUUUAUCCUCGCAUCCUCAUGUGAGAACACGAGUGGACCUACAUUUUUAAGUGGGAUCUGAACCACUGGUCAGAUCGUAUAUUAUCACUAUUGGAAUAUGGCACGAGUGACCUAGAGGACUGGUAUCCACAGACUGACUUCUUACUAUUCGCAAAACCUUUACUAAGGGAACAAACAAGGAAACGUUUAUGACUCCAGAGGACAGUUUCCUUUGAAUAGCACAUGAGAUGGAUGUCGCGUCUGAUUGGUUGAACCCCUUCCCUUUCCUCCACCACUACAAGGGAAGGUAUAUAAGGGCUACCUCCAGACACAGGAGCUCAUAAUAUUAUAAAUAAUUAUCUCCUUCUAUUGGACAUGGCCAGUGACUAUCUAAAUAAUAUCAAAACCAUUUGGUUAUGAAUUUUAAUUCUUUACUAUCGCACGCAGAAGUUAUAUCUUUCUCCUAUGAUAUCUCCCGAGCAACUGAUUCUUAGUGACCAAAGUUUUUACACUCUAGACCCAUUUCACAAAAGGCCCUUGUUGAUUCACUCCUUCUUGUUCCUUUUCUGGUUCUAUUCAUUAAAUUCAUUAAAUUUAUUCUAAACAUUUCGGUACUCUUCGACGAUAAACUAUAGAAUACUGACAUGGAUUGAACACUGCUAUGGCUAGACCAUUAAUUUUUGUCCACAGAUACCAAGCACUCUCAAUACCUUUAAUUUAGUUUCAUGUCUACAUUUUGAUUCAGUUUUUAAAAUUUUCUUUCUAGUUAAGGACUCGAUAUAAUUCUAGCCAGGUUGAUAUCCGAUAUAGUUUGCUCAAGAGACCGUUCGAGGGUGUCACUUGUUAUUGGUUCGUCCUGGGUGAGACGUCCCCCCAAAGAUAAGGCCCUUUUGUCUGUGGGGUUGUCUACGUAUUGGACUCUCUAGGUCAUGAACAACCAGAGUAUUUUCCAUUAUUCACCGAGAGGUUUGCAGUGGGUCGAUCGUUCGCGAAGGUGUCGAAAAUAUUUUCGACGAUAGCCUUGAAGAUGCUGACUGCAAGGUGAGGGAAACGUCGGCGCAACGCUGAACCAAACGGGAACCAUCCCAAAGCCAAUAAGAUUGAAAACGUCUCAUUAACUCGAACAACCGACCGGUUGUAAACAUAUGAGAGAAUAAUGAAAACACUUCAGCUGUUUAUGAUCUAAAUAACUCAACACGUGGACCAACCCAAUAGACAAAAGGCCUCCGUCUUUGGGGUAGAACUCUCACCCUGGACGAAGCGGGGGCUAAACUCAAUCUUGAAAGGUCAUUCUAGGAAACCACAUGGCAAUAAUACCCUAGUUAGUAAUCAUAUCCAAUCUUUACCUGGAAUAAAAUAAUUUGAUAAUUUUAUUGGACGGCAGGUUAAGAAAUAAAUGAGACUAGCAUAUACGAGCAACUGAAUUAUAUUUUAUUAGGAUGUGUUCUCGCUUUCAGAGGACAUCCGAACGAGAGACGUCAAGGUCACAAAGACCAUAACAUCGACACUAUGUGUUGAAUUUUUGGGGUUUUCCCCGAAGACGAAAUUCACUCGUUCCAGAGUUUUUAUAUUUAAGAUUAAAGAAAAUGUUUUACAACUUAAUUGUCGUCGAGGCUUUUUCCUUGGGACUUUUAUUACUGAACUUUUCCAAAGGGGUUUUUUCAAAACCCAUGUGGUGACUAGACAUGGUCAAGAUAGAAGUUCUCAGUGAAGUUUCAGGGGGUGUGGAAGUUAUUGUCUUCUCUAAGUAGAAAUGAAUCAGGGCCUCACUAGCAAUUUGGUUCCACGUCUAAAUAUCCAGUCGAAAAUAUCCAAACAAAAAUCUCCAAUGAAAAAUGUCCAAAACAAUAAUAUCCAAAACACAAAUAUCCAAAUGCUAUUAAAUCCAAUACAAAAAUUAGACAAAUUUAAUUUGAACUCCAAUCCACCUUCUUGGAUCUACAAACAGAUCCAAUGUUCGCGGAUAUAUUUGCUAUUGGGUUUUUUACAAUCGGAUAUUUUUGAAUUGGAUACUAUCGAACGGAUAUUUAGACGUGCUCCCAGCAAUUUGGUUUUUAGUCUCUCCUAAGAUUUCAUAGUCCGUAUAGUGUCCUCUUGACUAGUAGAGUCUGAAUAAUAUAUUAAAGUUUAGUGUUGUAAUUAUUAACAGUGUGUUCUCAAUUAUUUUGUUCCUCAUAUACCAAAAUUAUGAUUUCGUUCUUUCCAUGUUCAGUCAUUUGCUUAUAUUAUUUUGUAAACAUUCAUCUGGAGUUUUUGUUAUAUAACCACAGAGACGGUCUCUCCAAAAAAAUGACAUUAUAGUAUAAUACAUUUUAGUUUAUAUGGGUCGGAGAUAAUAUAAAAUGGUUUUUGCUCUUUUAUAUAAAGAAUG